AUUAGGUCUGAGUAAAAUGGAAUAUUGUGUGCAAGGUUGGUAUUUUUUGUCAAAAUCUCAGUUGAAGUUGCACCAAUAUAGUGAUGCAGAAGUCAGUGCUACAACAGCUAUUACAGUUGGUAGAAAAUCUAAAGUGCCUUCUAAGUGGAUUGGAAAGUUUUAUUUGAAUUUAGGUCAAGUGCUCUUAGGAAGGCAGAACUGGGAUGGAACAAUAGGAGCUUUAG